rfam:Clostridium magnum DSM 2767 CLMAG_contig000001, whole genome shotgun sequence.
GUAACCUUUAAAUUGGUCCUGUGAGGCCGGGAAGGUAGCAAGAAUAUGUCGUUCCUGUUGUAAGUUUUAGUAUAUUCAUGCCUUCCUUUAGGGGAAGGCAUUUUUUAU